UACGGAGGGGGCGAGCGUUAUUCGGAAUUAUUGGGCGUAAAGGGCGCGUAGGCGGCCUUGUAAGUCAAAGGUGAAAUCCCUCGGCUCAACUGAGGAACUGCCUUUGAAACUGCAAGGCUUGAGGCCGGGAGGGGGUAGCGGAAUUCCCAAUGUAGCGGUGAAAUGCGUAGAUAUCGGAAGGAACAUCAGUGGCGAAAGCGGCUUCCUGGACCAGAACUGACGAUCAGGCACGAAAGCGUGGGGAGCAAACAGG
rnacentral:rRNA from 1 species